rnacentral:rRNA from 1 species
UACGUAGGGGGCGAGCGUUGUCCGGAUUUAUUGGGCGUAAAGAGCUCGUAGGCGGUUUGGCAAGUCGGGUGUGAAAACUCCGGGCUCAACUCGGAGACGCCACUCGAUACUGCUAUGACUCGAGUCCGGUAGGGGAGUGCGGAAUUCCGGGUGUAGCGGUGGAAUGCGUAGAGAUCCGGAAGAACACCGGUGGCGAAGGCGGUCUGCUGGGCCAAGACUGACGCUGAGGCGCGACAGCGUGGGGAGCAAACAGG